UGAGGAAUAUUGGUCAAUGGGCGCAAGCCUGAACCAGCCAUCCCGCGUGAAGGAUGAAGGUCCUAUGGAUUGUAAACUUCUUUUAUACACCAAGAAAACUUCGGACGUGUCCGAAUCUGACGGUAGUGUAUGAAUAAGCACCGGCUAACUCCGUGCCAGCAGCCGCGGUAAUACGGAGGGUGCAAGCGUUAUCCGGAUUCAUUGGGUUUAAAGGGUGCGUAGGCGGCUUUUUAAGUCAGUGGUGAAAUCUUGCCGCUUAACGGUAAAAUUGCCAUUGAUACUGAAAAGCUUGAGUACAGUUGAGGUAGGCGGAAUGUGUAGUGUAGCGUUGAAAUGCUUAGAUAUUACACAGAACACCAAUUGCGAAGGCAGCUUGCUGAGCCAUUACUGACGCUGAUGCACGAAAGCGUGGGGAUCGAACA
rnacentral:rRNA from 1 species